UACGUAGGGGGCAAGCGUUGUCCGGAUUUAUUGGGCGUAAAGAGCGUGUAGGCGGCCAGAUAGGUCCGUUGUGAAAACUCGAGGCUCAACCUCGAGACGCCGAUGGAAACCAUUUGGCUAGAGUCCGGAAGAGGCGAGUGGAACUCCUGGUGUAGCGGUGGAAUGCGCAGAUAUCAGGAAGAACACCAACGGCGAAGGCAGCUCGCUGGGACGGAACUGACGCUGAGGCGCGAAAGCGUGGGGAGCGAACAGG
rnacentral:rRNA from 1 species